rnacentral:snRNA from 1 species
GGAUUUGAGGGUAAUCUGACUGCAACAUCUCAUUGGUCACCAGGGUUGAANUGGCUGAUCUGGCUGAUGGUUGACCCCUUCCUCCUUCACUACUCCCUGGACAUCCCUCCUGCAACUGCAUACUUGGUGGAAGACAAUGAUUGUCUGAGAUAGGAGUGUACCAUUCUUCAGUCAAAGCUGCUCCCUUACUAGAACCUCCAAACAAAUGGACAUUUCAGCAGGAAACACUUUGCGCACUCAAGGGUUGAAGUCAUUUCUGGACUAUACCAUGCUU